UACGGAGGGUGCGAGCGUUGUCCGGAAUCACUGGGCGUAAAGGGCGCGUAGGCGGCUUGGGAAGUCCGUGGUGAAAGCCCGAGCUCAACUUCGGGUCGGCCAUGGAUACUCCUAAGCUCGAGUCGACUAGAGGCUAAUGGAAUUCCGGGUGUAGCGGUGGAAUGCGCAGAUAUCAGGAGGAACACCAAUAGCGAAGGCAGCUCGCUGGGACGUACUGACACUGAGGCGCGAAAGCGUGGGGAGCGAACAGG
rnacentral:rRNA from 1 species